rnacentral:rRNA from 1 species
GAUGAACGCUAGCGGCAGGCUUAAUACAUGCAAGUCGUACGGGAUCCGAGGUAGCAAUACUUGGUGAGAGUGGCGCACGGGUGCGUAACACGUAUGCAACCUACCUAUAACCGGGACACAACCUCAAGAAAUUGAGGCUAAUAUCCCAUAACACUGCGAGAUGGCAUCAUUUUGCAGUUAAAACUCCGGUGGUUAUAGAUGGGCAUGCGCGACAUUAGCUAGUUGGUGAGGUAACGGCCCACCAAGGCUACGAUGUCUAGGGGUUCUGAGAGGAUUAUCCCCCACACUGGUACUGAGACACGGACCAGACUCCUACGGGAGGCAGCAGUAAGGAAUAUUGGUCAAUGGGCGCAAGCCUGAACCAGCCAUGCCGCGUGAAGGAUGACGGCCCUAUGGGUUGUAAACUUCUUUUGUACGGGAAAAAACCUCUGGUCGAGAAUCAGAGCUGAUGGUACCGUAAGAAUAAGCAUCGGCUAACUCCGUG